rnacentral:rRNA from 1 species
AUUGAACGCUGGCGGCAGGCCUAACACAUGCAAGUCGAACGAGUGGCGGACGGGUGAGUAAUGUCUGGGAAACUGCCCGAUGGCGGGGGAUAACUACUGGAAACGGUAGCUAAUACCGCAUACCAUCGGAUGUGCCCAGAUGGGAUUAGCUAGUAGGUGGGGUAACGGCUCACCUAGGCGACGAUCCCUAGCUGGUCUGAGAGGAUGACAAGCGAGAAUGGAACUGAGACAGGGGCGAGACUCCUACGGGAGGAAGCAGGGGGGAAUAUUGCACAAUGGGGGCAAGCCUGAUGGAGCCAUGCCGCGGGUAUGAAGAAGGCCGUCGGGUUGGAAAGUACUGUCAGCGAGGAGGCGUUACUCGCAGAAGAAGCACCGGCUAAAUCCGUGCCAGCAGCCGCGGUAAUAC